rnacentral:lncRNA from 1 species
AUCCCUCCCUCUCUCCACCUCCCGUCUGCGACUCCUGUUGCCCUUGGACUCUUUCAAUCCCUCUGUCGGCUCACAACUCUCACCUCACAAAACGACAGACACCCUGUGCUUUGUGGUCAACUUCAUGCAUCAAAACAUGGGAUGUGGAAGUUCCUCUCCAACAAAGUCAGCACACGACCGCAACAGCUGCAGUAAACUCAUCCAGAAUGUCCAUCAAAAGUGUCAGAUGACGCUGAAGCAGAUGACGACAAACGAAAGUAGGAGAUAAAAGCAGCACUGAACACAUCAACAGCUAUAUAUGUGUUUCUCAAUAAUUUUGUGUAUGUGAGAUCAGGAACUAUGGAGGCAUCUAUGUGGGCUUACCUACAGACGUAAGCAACAUUCCCACAGUGCAGAUUGGAUCUCUCAGAGGUAACACAGAAUCAGCUAUAGAAAAAUCUAUACCCCUAUCCUUUCAAAUUUAUAUUUCAC